AACGCACCUUGCACUCUUUGGUAUUCCGAAGAGUAUGUCUGUUUGAGUGUCGUGAAACUCUCAACCCCCCUGUUUUGUAAUGAGACGGGCGAGGGCUUGGAUCGUGGCUGCUGUUGGACGCUUAGCGAUCAACUCGGCUGAAAUACAUGAGCGAACCACAUUGAAUGCAGUGACGGCUUGACUCGGCGUAAUAAUAAUAUCUCGCUGAGGACGUCCAUAUUCAGAGCUGGCGCUUCUAAUAUAAUAAAUCAUAACUUUAGACCUCAAAUCAGUCAAGGCUACCCGCUGAACUUAA
rnacentral:misc_RNA from 2 species